AGCAGUGUAGCCUAGUGGUUUGAGUGGCGGACUAGGACUCUGAAGAAAGAGCGGGGUUCAAAUCCCGGCUCAGCCA